rnacentral:rRNA from 1 species
ACUUUGACCUCGGAUCAGGUAGGAUGCCAU